GGACCCGUAGUAUAGCCUGGAUAGAAUGGGGGCCUCCGGAGCCUCGGACCCGGGUUCGAAUCCCGGCGGGUCCG
rnacentral:tRNA from 1 species